rnacentral:rRNA from 1 species
AUGGUAGCUCGUCGUUUCAGGUCAUUGUCAUCAGAUAUUGUGCUUGUUUUAGCAUCGGGUAUUCCAUGGUUCCUGAACCUUAUUGACUUGUGUUAUUAUCUCUUAGUUCUUGUGAUACAUGAUAUUGUUGACAAUGAGAAAGUUACCUUCAGGCCUGGUACAUGUUUUACAGGACCUAACAAGGCCAUCGAUGUCAGGGCAACAAAGAGAGGUUCUCAUUUCAUACAAACCUGUAUUUUCAUAAUUUCAUUGUAUGCUCUCUUGGAAGUAUACUGUCAUUUUAUUAGAACAAUAGUAGCGGACGUGACCUUUUCCUUAUUUAAUCUUCAAAUAUUCUUCCAUCAUAUUUCCAUAAACACAUCAAGUGAGCAUAAAGUUAUCCCUGGCACUAAAAUGUACUCCCUCCGUAUGGAGGAAUCAUGUACAUCCAGAGCUACAAAUGUUAGAAGUAUUGUCUUUGCAGUGCAAAUGCAUAUGCUGAGCAAUUAUUACACACAGGUAACACAUCUUUUUACUAUUAGUUUGAAAGACGUAAGGGAACUCAUUCCGCAAGUAGAUAUUAACAAAGUUAUUGGAAGAAGCCGGUUACGCAAGGGACUCCACGCUAUCAUUAGAAGAUUUUAUGAUGUUCUAUGUUUAGCCAGGAUCCACUGGAAUCGGCAUUACUGA